rnacentral:tRNA from 1 species
GGGGCCAUAGCUCAGUUGGUAGAGCGCCUGCUUUGCAAGCAGGAUGUCGGGGGUUCGAUUCCCUCUGGCUCCA